rnacentral:rRNA from 1 species
UGGGCAAUGGGCGAAAGCCUGACCCAGCAACGCCGCGUGAGGGAUGAAGUAUUUCGGUAUGUAAACCUCGAAAGAAUGGGAAGAAUAAAUGACGGUACCAUUUAUAAGCUCCGGCUAACUACGUGCCAGCAGCCGCGGUAAUACGUAGGGAGCAAGCGUUGUUCGGAUUUACUGGGCGUAAAGGGCGCGUAGGCGGCGCGGUAAGUCACUUGUGAAAUCUCUGAGCUUAACUCAGAACGGCCAAGUGAUACUGCUGUGCUAGAGUGCGGAAGAGGCAACCGGAAUUCUUGGUGUAGCGGUGAAAUGCGUAGAUCUCAAGCGGAACCCCUGCGGCGAAGGCGGGUUGCUGGGCCGACACUGACGCUGAUGCGCGAAAGCCAGGGGAGCAAACG